rnacentral:rRNA from 1 species
CGCAUCUGUGCAUGCAGCAUAUCAAUAAGCGGAGGAAAAGAAACUAACAAGGAUUCCCUCAGUAACGGCGAGUGAAGCGGGAAGAGCUCAAAUUUGAAAUCUUGAAAGGUCACCUUUCACGAAUUGUAGUUUAAAGAAGUGUUUUCUGUUACGAUCGUAAUAUAAGUUCUUUGGAAUAGGACAUCACAGAGGGUGAGAAUCCCGUCUAUGAUUGCGAUUUGUAGCUUUGUGAUACACUUUCAAAGAGUCGGGUUGUUUGGGAAUGCAGCCCAAAACGGGAGGUAAAUUUCUUCUAAGGCUAAAUAUUGGCGAGAGACCGAUAGCGAACAAGUACCGUGAGGGAAAGAUGAAAAGAACUUUGAAAAGAGAGUUAAAUAGUACGUGAAAUUGUCAAAAGGGAAGCGUUUAACACCAGUGUUGUUUUCUGAAAAUCAACCUCUGUUAGCUUUAUGCAUGUUUGUUUAGACCUAAUCAGCUAUCUUGCAUGUUCUAUUGUUUGCAGUGGUGCACUUUUCAGUUUACAGGUCAACAUCAGUUUUUUUUACCGUAAAAAAGUUAAAGAAAGGUAGCUCAUGGCUCCGGUCGUGAGUGUUAUAGUCUUUUUCCUAUGCGGUAGGAGAGACUGAGGUCUGCAGUGUAGGCUAUUUGGCUAGAUACUCAGGUGCUAUGUGAUACCAUUUCAUAAACAACUUGUUGAUUAUGUUUUGUCUAUUGCAUACUCGCUUGUACUAUCAUACCUACGCUUAGGAUGUUGACGAUCAGCUGAGCGC